CCUACGGGAGACAGCAGUGGGGGAUAUUGCACAAUGGGGGAAACCCUGAUGCAGCGACGCCACGUGAGUGAAGAAGUAUUUCGGUAUGUAAAGCUCUAUCAGCAGGGAAGAAAAUGACAGUACCUGACCAAGAAGCCCCGGCUAACUACGUGCCAGCAGCCGCGGUAAUACGUAGGGGGCAAGCGUUAUCCGGAUUUACUGGGUGUAAAGGGAGCGUAGACGGUUAUGUAAGUCUGGAGUGAAAGCCCGGGGCCCAACCCCGGGACUGCUUUGGAAACUGUGUAACUGGAGUACAGGAGGGGCAGGCGGAAUUCCUGGUGUAGCGGUGAAAUGCAUAGAUAUCACGAGGAACCCCGAUUGCGAAGGCAGCCUGCCGGGGUGCGACUGACGCUGAGGCUCGAUGGUGCGGGUAUCAAACAGGAUUAGAUACCCUUGUAGUC
rnacentral:rRNA from 1 species